CGGACGGGGGAGCAUGUGUUUUAAUUCGAUGCAACGCGAACAACCUUACCUGGCCUUGACAUCGACUGAAGUUUUCAAAAAUGAAAAUGUGCCUUCCGGAACCGAGAUACAGGGGCUGCAUGGCUGUCCUCCGCUCGUGUUGUGAAAUGUUGGGUUAAGUCCCGCAACGAGCCCAACCCUUAUCCUUUGUUUCUUUCGGUCCGGCCGGGAACUCAAAGGAGACUGCCAGUGAUAAACUGGAGGAAGGUGGGGAUGACGUCAACUCCUCAUGGCCCUUACCACCAGGGCUACACACGUGCUACAAUGGCGCAUACAAAGAGAAGCGACCUCGCGAGAGCAAGCGGACCCCAUCAAGCGCGUCCUAUUCCGGAUUGGAGUCUGCCACUCCACUCCAUGAAGUCGGAGUCGCUAUUAAUCGUGAAUAAGAAUGCCACGGUGAAUACGUUUCCGUGCCUUGUACUCCCC
rnacentral:rRNA from 1 species